CGAGGGAACCCGGCCCGUGUGGAAUUUAAAACGCGUUCCCGGCGAACGUGCGCCAACGGUCCGGGAGGAAUCCCCAACGGUUCCGAAAAGCGAUCCCCCGCCUGAACAACCAUAAAACAAAUAAACAUGAGAAAAACCGUUCACCCAGCUGCCGAUUACGGCGACCUGCAGGAGGCGCCCCUCUCCGUCCCGGUCAAUCCCAACAACUUCCCCGCCAAACUCUGGCGCAUCGUGAACAGCCCCCGGAGCCGCUCCAUCCG
rnacentral:lncRNA from 1 species